rnacentral:rRNA from 1 species
UGGGGAAUAUUGCGCAAUGGGGGAAACCCUGACGCAGCAACGCCGCGUGAAGGAAGAAGGCUUUCGGGUUGUAAACUUCUUUGAUUGGGGAAGAAGAUGACGGUACCCAAGGAACAAGCCACGGCUAACUACGUGCCAGCAGCCGCGGUAAUACGUAGGUGGCGAGCGUUGUCCGGAAUUACUGGGCGUAAAGGGCGUGUAGGCGGGGGAGCAAGUCAGAUGUGAAAUUCCACGGCUUAACUGUGGCGCUGCAUCUGAAACUGUUUCUCUUGAGUGCUGGAGAGGAAAGUGGAAUUCCCAGUGUAGCGGUGAAAUGCGUAGAGAUUGGGAGGAACACCAGUGGCGAAGGCGGCUUUCUGGACAGUAACUGACGCUGAGGCGCGAAAGCGUGGGGAGCAAACAGG